UACGUAGGGUCCGAGCGUUGUCCGGAAUUAUUGGACGUAAAGGGCUCGUAGGCGGUUUGUCGCGUCGGGAGUGAAAACACGGGGCUUAACCCCGUGCCUGCUUCCGAUACGGGCAGACUAGAGGUAUGCAGGGGAGAACGGAAUUCCUGGUGUAGCGGUGAAAUGCGCAGAUAUCAGGAGGAACACCGGUGGCGAAGGCGGUUCUCUGGGCAUUACCUGACGCUGAGGAGCGAAAGUGUGGGGAGCGAACAGG
rnacentral:rRNA from 1 species